AGUCGCGUGGUCUAAUGGUCAUGAUUUUCCGUUAACACGUGAUCAGUUACCUGAUUACUUCUACCAUUCGUAGAUGCCGGAACGGUUCCCGGUUCGAUCCCGGGCGUGACUA